CUCCCUGCUGCAGAUGUUUGCAGAGGGCUGUGGGGACUGAGCCCCUGCUGUGACAGAGGGGUGAGAGCAGCGCACAUGUCCCUGCCCUGACACGUUCUCCCUUUGUUCCAGGAAAGGACCUCUUCUCCAGACCGUCAAUAACCUCCUGCGAGCAGUGACCGACAUUCUGGAAAAGACGGUUCCCCAUCUGCUGCAGAAAGAGCUCUGCCCACUUGUCAACAUGCUUCUAGAAGAUGUGCUGAAUUUGCUGCAAGGCUCCUCGUCCUCCUAUGUGCACGGAGACAUGAUCCAGCUGCGACCCUCAUCCACCUCUCUCCGCAACGGAGUCAUGCAAAUUGGC